GCCGCUGCCAGCCUACGCUGCCCGAGCUCGUCAAUGGAGCUGGAAACAUCGUUGCCAACACCGUCUUGCUGAAAGCCAGGGAAGUGAUUGAAUAAUGCAA